AUGGGGGUGUGGCUAUUCUCCAAUAUGCAGACGACACGGUCGUGUGUUUUUGAGCAUGAUAAAGAAGCCGCGGUUAAUCUGAAGCUCUUGCUUUAUUUGUUCGAACUUAUGUCAGGGCUUAAGAUUAAUUUCCUGAAGAGUGAAAUUUUAUGCAUUGGAGGGGAUGAUGAGGUUCUUGCUUUUCAUUCUGAACUUUUCAAUUGCCAGAUUGGCCAUUUCCCUAUGAAAUACUUAGUGGUACCUGUGAGCUAUUCUGCCCUCCGUGCGAUAGACUGGGAUUUUGUUGAUGACAAAGUCCUCAAGUGUUGUGAAUCUUGGAUUGGUAAUGCGGCCUCCUCGGGAGGGAGAUUGACCCUUCUCAACUCCUCCCUUACAAGCAUCGUGUUCUACUACAUGUCUAUGUUUAUGCUAUCUAAGAAGAAUAUUGAGAAACUA
rnacentral:rRNA from 1 species